CCACCACCACCCUGCGUAGCUGAAGGAUUCUUGUCUCUCCAUCCCCCACCCUCCUCUCUCUCUGUCUCUCUCUCCCUCUCUCUCCUGCUCUUGGACAUAAGGUGAAUGGCGUUUUGCUCCAUCAAAGAGGGUGUGAUGGUGUGAUGGUUUGGGUAAGAUGAGAUGCUCCCUCAUUGCCUCUGGCAUUUGAACAUUUGGUCCCCAGUUGAUGGCACAGUUUAGGUGGUUUAGGAGGUGUGCUCUUAUUGGAGGAAGUUCAUCACUGGGGGUGGGCUUUGAGAGUAAAAGGAGUGGCACCGCCUUCCCGCAUGCUCUCUCUGAUUGUCACUUGUGGUUCAAGAUGUGAGUUCUCAGCUUCCACUCCAUCACUGUGCUCUGCUUGCUGCCACACUCCCCUGCCAUGACGGACUUUUAUUCUUCUGGAACCAGAUGCCAAAUAAACCCUUUCCUCUGUAAGUUGCAUUGGUCAUAAUAUUUCAUCACAGCAACAGAAAAGUUACUAAUAUAGUGGGUAUAUCUCUUUUUUCCAUGAAAUGCUACCUCAUCGUAUAUCCAAUACAAUAGGGCCAAUCAAUUAUGGUCUUGAGAUUCCAAAAUUAUAAGCCAAAAUAACCAGCUCAGUAAAGGAAAGCUAACACAACUUUCUUUCCCUUGUAUCUUCCCAUAGUUUUUCUCCAUGCUAGUGCUCUAAUCUCCCCUCUUACAAACUACCAGACCCAUCAGAUUAGGGACCACCAUAUGGAAUCAUUGUACUUUAGCUGCUUUAAGUAUGGUCAUAUUUAAAGACUUGGGAUUAGAGUUUCAACUUAUGGAUUUUCAAGGACAGAAUACAACUGAGCUAAAAGAAACAGUGACUUAGACAUGAAUAUGCCUGAGAGAUGAAGGCAAAGAAGAAUGUUCUAGUUGCUAGCACAGCUAGACACCUGCCAGCCACGGAGAACAGGAACAUUCAAUCAGGAUUUCCAAUCCAGCUUUGCAGCACCUCAUGCAUUUUAAUUGUAGAGCCAGAUGAGCUGUAGAUGUGGCAUAGCUUUCCUCCAGGUUACCAUGUCCAGGGAAUUUAAUGAGUGUGACUUAUUUCUUGUAACUAAGAGAUUUCAAUGAUGAUCUUUGGCUUUUUCAGAUUCUUCCUUUGAAAUUGCUUCUACUUUGUCGUUUUCUCCUUCAAAAUGGUUUCUAGAGCAUGGCUUUAUGGCAACAUGGCAGGGCCUUUGUAAUAACUUCCAGCGUGUUUGGUCUCCUGGCCUCCAGCUUGUCCCAAGUUCUCAUCUUAAAUACCAAAUUGGGAUUCCUCACCCCAAGAGAUGGUAACAUUAUUCAUCCCACUUUCUAGAGAUUUUAAAGGCCCCGUCAUCUCAAAGUCUCAAAAUAAAUCUCUAAUUCAUAAUGUCACACUAAUCAUAUUUUGUGCCUGCUUAAGACUUUAAUUUCUAUUACCACUGAAAAUCCAUCAGUCAUCAGUAGGUUCAAUUUCUGUUCCUUCCACUGACAUAUCUCAUAUAUGUUUCCAGGCAUGUUUCCUUGUUAGUGUUACCCCUACCUAGCAUGCUUUAGAGACCACCUGCUCUGAAGAGCCACACUUUUUUUAAAACAGUGAUUUCAUUUAAAAGUUGUGCUUCCUCAGAGAUAUCCUCCCUGUCCAUUCUGUCUGGAACAGUGUCUCAUCAAUCAAGACCCUUUUACCUUAAACCUGAUCUGGUACGGGCCUGAAAUCCCAGCAACUCAGAAGGCUGAGUCAGGAUGAUCAAGUUCAAGAUCAGCCUGAGCAACCUAAUUAUUUGUUGUCAAAAAAUUUAAAAAGAAAAAUGAACCACCAAGAUGACUCUGUGGACACAGGAGCCUGCCACUGAACUCAAUGACUGGAGUUCAAUUCCCACAUGGUGGAAGGAGAGAAAAAAGAUCCAUUAGUUGCCCUCCAUUCUUGAUUUCAUGCACACGCACACACCAUUUUAAUUUAAAAAUAAAUUAAAAAACAAGAAUCUAGUUAUCUGGUAGAGUUCUUGCUUAGUCUGUGAGAGGCCCUAGGCCCAAGACCCAACACUAAAAAAAGGGGAGGGUUCCUGUUAUAUGUUCCUUUUUGGAGGUGUUUCUGGAUGUACUAAAUAUUCAUAUGUUGAAGCCUUAAUUCCAGUCCUUGAGAAUAUGUCCUUAUUUAUAGAUUCUUUAAGGAAGCCAUUAAGUUAAAAUAAGUCAAAUUGAUGGAUUCCAAUCUAGUACUACCAGUGUCCUUAUGAAGAAAAAUAGAUUAGGGGACAGAGAUAUACUGGGGAAUUGAAGGGAACAUACCUUAAAUGCCACAAGGAAGAGGCCAUACACACACCAAAAGAAAGAUCUAGAACAGAUUGUUCUCUACAGUCCCAGAAGAAUUCCACCGGGCUGAUACCUUUGUCCCAGACUUUCUGAUUCUAAAACUGUAAGAAAACUAACUUCUGUUGUUUUUAAACCACAUGGUCCACUUUGUUAUGGCAACAGUAGGCAUGUAACUCAGGUGAGUGAAUCAGUAUUUUUUUUCUCUGUAUGUCUUGUUCCCCGGUUGGUAGACAGUUUGUUUACAGCUUUAUCUCAGGAGUAGAGCAGUACUUGUCAUAUGAUAGGUAUUCAAUACUUGGGAUGCCAUUUUAAUGUUCUUGUCUCCAUCAAUGCUAACUAAUUCUUUAGUAUAAUAAUUUCUACAAUUUGGUUGCGUAUAAAGUUUGCAGCCCAGAUCCAGCCUUUGCUGGUGAUGCAGCUGGUACUUUGGUCUCACUUUUUUCUUAUUUCUCAUUUGGCUCCAGACUUGAUCAAGGAGAAAUGAUGCUGGGUAGGUGUGCUUUUAAUUUCUCAUAUCACUCUGCAUCUUGGAAGUGAUAGGGACUGCCAAUAUUUUACUAAGUAAAAUUUUGUUUACAUAUUUGCUGAAAUUUUCUGGAUGGGUGUUUUUAAAGUUGUAUUUGUUCCUUGAAGAUUUCAUAUUAUAUCCCAUGCUUUCCUAUCUGCCUUACACCUCUAUCAAGCCCCCUCCUCUAUACAGCUCCAUCUCCCUUGGUCAUGUCUUUUUGUCUUGUCUUGUGACCCACUGAGGUUAACCCUCUAUGUCACCUGUGUAUGGAACUAUCUAAUGGGGCCUGGUGGGCUCACUGAUGGGAUACUCAUUGGAAGACAUAACUUUGCCUCCCUCAAAACCCACCAGUAAAUGUUCAGUUCAGCAGGUGGGGUAUGGUCCAUGAGCCUCUCCUUCAUCCACAAGUGUUAUUUGAUAUGACCAGUCUGGUGCGGGAUCAGUGCAGGUAACCACAGUUGUUGUGUGUUCAUGGUUGUAUAAUGCCUGGUAUGAUCUCCAGCUGGAGUCCUUGUCUCUACAGGACAGGAAUUUUCUUAAAUGGUUGAAAUUAUGCCCUCUUCUAGUAGAGGUUUAAUAAAUUUGCCCUUGUGUCCAUUCUGUGGCACUUUUGUGGAAUAUGGAUGUAGCUCCCGGCAAUUCCCUUUGUCUGAGAUUUCUCUCUGUGCCCCCAUGUCUCUCCACAGGGCACAGAGUACCCGUGUGGAAGCACUGAAGUUUGUUACGCAUGUUUUUGCAUCCUCCUCUUGGUUGCAUCUUGCGACACAGAUGAACAUUGUACCUUGCAAAAUACUUCUUCUGGGAAUGUGGAUUGUGACUGAGAGACAUGUGACAGCAUCUUCUGCUGCAAGAUUUAUAUCUGCCAGAAAGACUUGGAACUCACCAAAGUAGCCCAGCUGGACUUAUACUCCUGAUCUCCCUGGCUUGACCUCCUGAGUACGGGGGAUUAUAUUACACAUUUUCCAAAAUUGCAAAGAAAAACAAAACAAGAAGUUACAUUGAGAGGAAACACAUCUCAGCCUCCUUUCUUCACCAUUACCUCUGGAGAAAUCCCCAGUGCAUCUGAUUCACUAGAAGAGACAUACCAGGUGAUGUAUUCCCUAGAUACCUGUUUAAUCAUCUGUGACACAGUCAUUGGCAGGCAGACUCUGCCUAGAAAUCAAGCCUAACAGAGUAUUAAGGGACAAUAAAAAGUGAUCAUUUU